rnacentral:tRNA from 1 species
GGGGUUGUAGUUAAAAAUAACAUUUAAUUUGCAAUUAAAAAGUACUUUAUAUAAGUCUUCCUCA